rnacentral:rRNA from 1 species
CAGUCGCCGCGGUAAUACGGAGGGGGCUAGCGUUGUUCGGAAUUACUGGGCGUAAAGCGCGCGUAGGCGGCUUGGUAAGUUAGAGGUGAAAGCCUGGAGCUCAACUCCAGAAUUGCCUUUAAGACUGCCGAGCUAGCAGGUGAGAGAGGUAAGUGGAAUUCCGAGUGUAGAGGUGAAAUUCGUAGAUAUUCGGAAGAACACCAGUGGCGAAGGCGGCUUACUGGCUCAUACUGGACGCUGAGGUGCGAAAGCGUGGGGAGCAAACAGGAUUAGAUACCCCUGUAGUCCCUGUCUCUUAUAC